GCAGGGCUCGAUCCCAUGACCCUAGAAUCACGACCUGAGCCAAAAUCAAGAGUCAGACGCUUGGCUGACUGAGCCACCCAGGUGCCCCCUUCCUGGCUUAACAUUUUCUCGAGGAUCAUUCUGGCUGCUGUUUGGACAGGGUAGAAGCAGAGUCCAGCUAGGAGACUACUGCAAGAUACAGGGAUGGCUGGGGGUAGAAACGGUGAGAAAUGGUGACUUUUUCUGGGUAUCUGUUGAAGGAAGAGCUGACAGAUUUUUCUGGUAGAUUAGACUGUAACUGGGCUGUGAGGGGAAGGGAGGAGUCAGGAUGACUCCGAGGUAUUUGGGCUGAGCAGCUGGAGGACUGAGUUGCCAUAGACUGAGACCAGAGCAGGCUGCAGGAGAGACAGGUGUGGCAGGGGAGAGUGGGGAGACGCAGGUUCGGUUCCAAGCAUGUUACGCUGGAGAUGCCUGGGAGAUACCCAAGUAGAGAUGCCAAGGAGGUGACUGGCCGUACGAGGUGAGAGUCUGUCUCAGGAGUAGAGAUACACAUGCGGUGUUGCCCAGUGAUUGGAUGGUGGGAAAGCCACAAGGCUGGUUGAGGUCACAAAGGAAGUGAGUGUGGGGAGGGAGGAGGCGGGAGAUCAGGAGCUGAGAACCGGGCACUCCGACCCUGAAAGGUCAAGUUAGUGAGAAGGAAUCCGCAAAGGCAACUGGAAAACACGAGGCUAGUGAGGUUGCUUAAAGAAGUGAUGUCUGCGCUCAGAGUGCCUGAUUCUUUGCCUCCCAGUUACACACAGUCUGGUGUCUGUCCCCACAGCUCCUUGAAAACGGCUGAAACUCUUCUGGCAAAGUAGCAUUUGGCCACUCCCACCUUCAGGAAGCUCUUUUUUUCUCUAGGCCUGCACGACACCCCAUUCUCCUGGGUUACCUCCCACUUCAAUGGCUGUUCCUUCUUAAUAUCUUGGGUAACUGCUUCUCCUCUGCUUAACAUCAGAAUGUUGAGAGAAUCCAAACUUCACCCUCGACCUGGAUCUCCCCCUGGGCCAUCUCCCCCAUUGUGUUAAAUUCCAUCUACGGGCUGCUGGCUUCCAGAUUUUUAUCUGAAUCUGACCUCUCCCUUGGGCUUCAGAUGCAUAUAUCCCAUUGCCUAAUCACUCACAGGGAUGUUUAAUAAAUAUCUCAAACUUAAUGUGGUCAAAACAGGACUCUUGAUCUCUGGCUUCAGAUCUGUUCUCCCCAAGUACUCUUUAUCUCAAUAUGUGGCACACUCAGUAAUCACCGCAUUGCUUGCCCCAAAAGCCUAGGACUAGGGUGACCACUUGUCCUGGUUUGCCCGGGGCCGGUCCUCGUUUUAGCCCUGAAAACCUUGUUCCAGGAAACUCCUCAAUCUCAAGCGAGCCGGGAUGUUUGGUCAUCUCACUUGGGAAUCACCCAAGAUCUCCUUCUUUUCUUCGCAUUCUACAUCCAAUCAACUGGAUGUCCAUCCAGAUAUACCCUCUUUCCACCUCCACCGCCACCUCGUCCAAGCCUCCAUCAUGUCCCACACAGACCGUCCCAAUAGCCUCUCCAUCUGGUGUCCCUCCUCCCUUGCUUGGCCCGCUGCGUUUUUCACACAAGAGCCAGAGGAUCUUUACACAGAGAAAAACACACCACUAAGGGCUUGAAUACCUACUAGUUCAAGCACUCCAACUACACUUCGAACAAAUCCAAAUUUCCUUCCUGCAGGCUCUGCAUGAUCUGGCCCUCGCCUCUCAUCCACUGACAUUUCCUAGUUCACUCCCUUCUUCCCAUCCCUCCCUUCCCCCCAUCACCUUAUGACUCACUCCUUCCUACCAUUCAGGUAUGAGGCCAAAGUUACCCUCAUGACUGUAUCCAGAGUCAUUCCCCAAGUUUCUCCCUAUCGGAUCUCUCUCUCUUCCAUUAUCUUCAAGGCAUAGCUCACCACCUGACGUUACCCUGUUCAUUCUUUUGUUUGUGUAUCAACUCCCCCAUCUAAGAUGUAAGCUUCAGAGCAGAGCCCUUGCCAGCGUUGUUCACAUCCCUGUUCUCAGCACUUGGCUCGGCACACAGCAAGUGCUCAGUAAAUCCUUGCUAAACAUAUGAAUAUUCAGCUGAGUACAGGGUCUCUCACUGUGGUCAUAAAAGAUAAGA